GAUGAACGCUAGCUACAGGCUUAACACAUGCAAGUCGAGGGGAAACGACAUUGAAGCUUGCUUCGAUGGUCGUCGACCGGCGCACGGGUGAGUAACGCGUAUCCAACCUGCCUCUGACCAAGGGAUAACCCGUCGAAAGUCGGCCUAAUACCUUAUGCAGUCGUCGGAAGUCAUCUGAUGACGACGAAAGAUUUCAUCGGUGAGAGAUGGGGAUGCGUCUGAUUAGCUUGUUGGCGGGGUAACGGCCCACCAAGGCAACGAUCAGUAGGGGUUCUGAGAGGAAGGUCCCCCACAUUGGAACUGAGACACGGUCCAAACUCCUACGGGAGGCAGCAGUGAGGAAGAUUGGUCAAUGGGCGAGAGCCUGAACCAGCCAAGUAGCGUGCAGGAUGACGGCCCUAUGGGUUGUAAACUGCUUUUAUGCGGGGAUAAAGUGAGGGACGUGUCCUUCAUUGCAGGUACCGCAUGAAUAAGGACCGGCUAAUUCCGUG
rnacentral:rRNA from 1 species